rnacentral:rRNA from 1 species
AACGUAGGGGGCCAGCGUUGCUCGGAAUUACUGGGCGUAAAGGGUCCGUAGGCGGUGUGGCAAGUCGGAAGUGAAAUCUCUGGGCUUAACCCAGAGGCUGCUCCCGAAACUGCUGUGCUAGAGUGCGAGAGAGGCGAGUGGAAUUGCGGGUGUAGCGGUGAAAUGCGUAGAUAUCCGCAGGAACAUCCGAGGCGAAAGCGGCUCGCUGGAUCGCAACUGACGCUGAGGGACGAAAGCUAGGGGAGCAAACAG